rnacentral:rRNA from 1 species
UAGGGAAUCUUCCGCAAUGGGCGAAAGCCUGACGGAGCAACGCCGCGUGAGUGAUGAAGGUCUUCGGAUCGUAAAACUCUGUUAUUAGGGAAGAACAAAUGUGUAAGUAACUAUGCACGUCUUGACGGUACCUAAUCAGAAAGCCACGGCUAACUACGUGCCAGCAGCCGCGGUAAUACGUAGGUGGCAAGCGUUAUCCGGAAUUAUUGGGCGUAAAGCGCGCGUAGGCGGUUUUUUAAGUCUGAUGUGAAAGCCCACGGCUCAACCGUGGAGGGUCAUUGGAAACUGGAGAACUUGAGUGCGGAAGAGGAAAGUGGAAUUCCAUGUGUAGCGGUGAAAUGCGCAGAGAUAUGGAGGAACACCAGUGGCGAAGGCGACUUUCUGGUCUGUAACUGACGCUGAUGUGCGAAAGCGUGGGGAUCAAACAGG